rnacentral:rRNA from 1 species
CCCGCUCAUUCUAUACCCCAUUAUUUGCCCGACCCCUGUCUGCUCAGUUUUAGGUUGGGGUGACCACGGAGUAUAAAAUAACCUCCAUGAAGAAGGGGAUAUUUCCCUUAUUAGAGAACCACACUUCCAAGAACUAAUAAAUUAAUUUUCAAUGACCCGAUACCCGAUAAUCGAUCAACGAACCAAGUUACCCUGGGGAUAACAGCGCAAUCCACCCUGAAAGCCCUUAUUAACAGGUGGGUUUACGACCUCGAUGUUGGAUCAGGGUAUCCCAGUGGUGCAGCAGCUACUGAGGGUUCGUUUGUUCAACGAUUAA